GUUCCAGCCUAUUCAUACCUCGUGCCUAAUCUUGCUAGUGUCGCGUCGGCAAUAAUUUUUUAUAUAAAUGAGUUUUAUAAGUAAAAAACUUAAAAUUUGUUUAUAUAAACGUAUCGUAUCUAUCGUAUCGUUUCAUAGUUUUAACGUGUCGUGCCGGAAUUUAACGUGCAGGCCCAUCCGUUUGACUCUUCCAUGGGCAUGCAAUGGAUUUUUCUAGGCAAAGAGGGACGCUGUUUUCUGUACCAGAAAGCAGCUCUCUGCAGAGGCUUUUUUACUGUUUGGAGG
rnacentral:lncRNA from 1 species